rnacentral:tRNA from 1 species
AAAAUUUUAAGUUAAAAUAACUAUAAGCCUUCAAAGUUUAAAUUAUACAAUAUGUGUAAAUUUUA